rnacentral:tRNA from 1 species
UCCCUGAUAGCUCAGUUGGUAAAGAAUCCGCCUGCAAUGCAGGAGACCCUGGUUUGAUUCCUGGGCUGGGAG